CCCUAUAGGCAGGAUUUCUACAAUUAGCGAUUGAAACUAGCUUUAACUCCUAUAGGCAUGUCUCCUAAGUGAGCAAUUAUAACAACAAUACAUUAACCAAUUAAAACCCUAUAGGCAUGAUUUCUAAAAUGCAGAUUUGCAGAACAUAAGCUAACAUAACCCUAGGUUCAUAGUAUCUAAUGAAUAUGCCGUAAUGCAAAUUCAAACAUUGCUCACUUUAUUUCCUAUAGACAUGAUAUCUAACAAACAUGUAGAAGCAAAAUAUGUUAAAUGAAUUAAACACUCAAGUCAUAUAUGCAGGUUAUCUAACACACAUAGUAUCAAAAAAUGUUCGAGCAAAUUAAAUACCUAUAGGCAGUAUUUCUACCCGUUCAUGCAAAUAUUAGAAUAAACUCAUUUCCCAAUUUUAUUAACACCCCAAUUAUUAUUACAAUAUUAUUACAGACCCAAUGAGUGAAAUAAAUUACAGGGUUACAAAAUAACUAUAGUGGGCCUAAGAUAGGCCAAAGUAUACCCAGCCCAGCCAGGCCUUCAAUUACAUAUCCAACAGGCUUCACCACAACCCAGAAGUCAUAGCCAAUCAAACCCAGAAAAACAAUUUUCAUUUACACAAAAUAGAUAAAACCCAGUAGCCAGAGCUGAUCAACAGCCGUUUACACAAAUCAAUUGGUUUAUUCAGUAGGUAAAAAAAAGGAGGGGCAGAGUUGAACAAUUAGGACAAAGUGGCCCAAAGAACCUUAGACCCUAGUGUGUCAGAGUUCACAAGGGUCUCAAAAUGGACCCUGAGCAGUGCUCACACUAGGGAGGUUGAUAGAGAAGAUUUAGGGAAGGGGGGUCUUGGCUUUCAUCCGGCCUAGAAUUAGACUCAUAACAAGAAACAAUCAAUGAAAAAUAGUAAUAGGUUUGGAAAAGCAUUUGCAAACACUAUAAGAUAAUCACAUAGUGAACUCAAGAAGUAAACUAACACAUUGGGCAGGGUGUCAUAUGAUAAGAAACAAAGAGCCUGGGAUUGCAAAGUCAACAGACAAUGGCAUUAGACUAGUAAAACCCAGUAAUGCAACCAGUGUAGAACUUAAAGGAUCGGAUUAUACCAAACUCAGGAUUACACAAUAUAAUACAAACAGGAUUAGAUAUCAUGGAGGGUAUCAGUCAAGGAGGAUUAGUUUAAAGGAUAACAUUUUGUUAGAGGUGUAGAAUUGGACAUAGCAAGAACACAUAGAGUGGCAACCAUAGUCAUAGGAGCAUACUACACUUAGAGUAAAGGUUUUAAACAAGUUAAUGCAUGCUAAUAACAUCAAUUAAUCACUAGAAGUUCAGAUUUAGGCAGAGAACAUGGAUUAAACCAUAUAAUCAAGGCAGAACAUUCGAAUUAUCAAUAACACCAAACUAAACAUGCUUCAUUCUGUCUAAAUUAACUAAGUUAGGUACAAAGACAUUAUUAGGCUAGCAAUUAUAGGCAGAAUCACACAUAAAGAGAGUCAAGGGAAUACAUUAAGUCAUGCAGUUUCAAAGAACAUGCUAUCAUAAGAGAAUAAAUAUUGCGAGGGUUUAGAAACUAACCAAUGAUUGUUCACUAAACAAGAAAAGAACAACAGUAAGGACCUAGAGUCUCAAAUAUGUCAAGUUCCCAAAGGUUUCAAGAACCCAGUGCAGUGCUCACACCCAAGAGAUGGUCAGAAAAGUAGAAAUCUGGUGGCCUUGGCUUUCAGCCGGCCAAGAGCCAAACAGAACAGAAUAGUAAACAAAUACAGAGUAGAAACCUCAAUUUUUAGUGAGAGAAUAGUGAUUCCAGUCCUGUCCAAAAAGGGGAAGGGGGAUGGGUUUUUAUAGUAGCAUAAUUAAACACACAAACAAGGAAAAACAAUCAAUCAAUCUUAAAGAAAAAGGAAAGAAUAGCAUGCGGAACUGAUUCAGAAUCAAUUUAGGAGAAGUCAAGCAAACCCUAGUUUUUAGAAAAACAAAUAUUAUCAGAAUAUACACAAAAAUAAUAACAUAGGAUGAAUAUAGACACAAAUAACACUAAAAAUCAGAGAAUCGAACCAAUUUUGGUCCGAUUUAAGGAAAUCUGAAAACCCUAGUUUUAGGGUAAGUAAGAAUCAACAGAAUAUAAACAAAUAUUUGGACUCACAGUAGCAUAGGAUGAACAUAGACGGAAUAACAUUCAAAAUUCAGGGAUUUGAACUGAUUUUGGUUCGAUUUUGAUGAGAUCUGCUUGCCAUAUUUAGGCAAGCACUAUAGGAGAGUAGCCAGUACCAGAAGGGGGUCGAGUAUGGUAAGUAAUAGCCAUGGAAUCCCAUAUUAGGUGGGUUUAUGAGAAGAUUUAGGGGGCGGCGGCUAGGGUUCUUGAGAGAGGGAGAAGGGGUUGAGAGGAUAUCAUGGUGGCAUAUGAGGGGAGAGUGAGGUUAG
rnacentral:lncRNA from 1 species